rnacentral:rRNA from 1 species
GUGUCAGCCGCCGCGGUAAUACGGAGGGUGCGAGCGUUGUCCGGAAUCACUGGGCGUAAAGGGCGCGUAGGCGGUUCGCUAAGUGGCUGGUGAAAUCCCGGGGCUCAACUCCGGGGCUGCCGGUCAGACUGGCGGACUCGAGCACGGUAGAGGCGGAUGGAAUUCCCGGUGUAGCGGUGGAAUGCGUAGAUAUCGGGAAGAAUACCGGUGGCGAAGGCGUUCCGCUGGGCCGUUGCUGACGCUGAGGCGCGACAGCGUGGGGAGCAAACAGGAUUAGAUACCCCAGUAGUCC